GCGGCAGGCCUAACACAUGCAAGUCGAACGCUGCAGCAAUGCAGAGUGGCAGACGGGUGAGUAACGCGUGGGAACCUUCCCAGUGGUACGGAAUAGCCCAGGGAAACUUGGGGUAAUACCGUAUAAGCCCCUAGGGGGAAAGAUUUAUCGCCAUUGGAUGGGCCCGCGUCGGAUUAGCUAGUUGGUGAGGUAACGGCUCACCAAGGCGACGAUCCGUAGCUGGUUUGAGAGAAUGACCAGCCACACUGGGACUGAGACACGGCCCAGACUCCUACGGGAGGCAGCAGUGGGGAAUCUUGGACAAUGGGCGAAAGCCUGAUCCAGCCAUGCCGCGUGAGUGAUGAAGGCCCUAGGGUUGUAAAGCUCUUUCGCCAGGGACGAUAAUGACGGUACCUGGAUAAGAAGCCCCGGCUAACUUCGUGCCA
rnacentral:rRNA from 1 species